CUUUGAUAGCCUCCUGAUCACAAAGCCCCAUCUUGUUCGGGUUUUUUCUUUAAUUUUUAAAAAUUGAAAUGUAGUUGGUUUACAGUGUGGUGUUAGUUUCAGGGGUACAGCAAAGGGAUGCAGGUUAUAAUUCUUUUCCAGGUUCUUCUCCCACAUAAGUUAUGAUAGAAUACUGAGUAGAGUUCCCUGUGCUCUACAGUAGAGCCUUGGUUUUUGUUUUUUUCCUGGGAACCUCCAUAUGCCGUGGAAGCAGCCCUAGAAAAGGCAGAAAGACAAAAAAAAAAAAAAAAAAAAAGGAAAAGAAAAGAAAAUAGCAGGGGAGGACAUGGAGGGUGGAAGGGCUGUGGUUCUGGAAGCAGCAGUGAACACGGCUGGAAGGAUGACCCGUCCACUCAUCCUUCUCCCUGGUCCACUGUGAUUCUCCCUAAGGAUCCGCCAUGCGAGCUUGGUCACCGAACAGGCCGGGGUUGGCGAGCGCUCGGCAUCCCUAACCCAGCUCUCCUCAGACUUAAGAGCGGUGACUCGCUGCCUUGAAACUGAAGCACAGGAUGUUCCUGAUGUGGCCCGGGGGGUUACGGAUCUGGAGUUGUCUCUGCGGCAGCUCAGGUCCCCGCUGAGGCCCAGGGUCAAUCCCCAGCCUGGCACAGCAGGUUAGGGAUCCGGUGUUGCCACGGCUGUGGCGUAGGUGGCAUCUGCAGCUCAGAUUCAGUCCCUGGCCCAGGAACAUCUGUAGCCAUGGUGCAGUUGAACAUUAAAAUAUAGUAAACUAGAGCACAGAGGGGUCAGCAGCCUCCUCUGGGUACCAGCCCAGCCCCAGCCCCCACGGGAACCACAGCCACACCCGAACCAGUGACGGUGGCUUCUGUCUCCUGGGCCAGUUUGCUCAACGUCACUUCUGGUCCUCAGGACAGUUUCUGUUUUGACAUUUGAAAAAUUGCCCUGCCAGUCUGUGGGCCCUGAGUUUUGUGAUGGUUCUGAAUGAAUUCUGAUAAAUUAGUGUAUCUUUCCGGAUGUGUGUAGGGCUGUAGGAAGAUAAAUUGCACCUGUCUCGUGUGAGAGUUACAAAUUCAGCAGAAUGUCAGGCUGGGAGGCGAGGAGGGAAGCAUCCCCGACAGUGGCUCAUGGACAGCCAGCAUGUGCUGCAGGGCGGGCUCUCCGACAGACGGACAGAACCAGCCUAAAGGGAUACAUGACCCUCGCGCUCGGGGCCCUGGGAAACCAUGCAAACCCACGGAGGCCUCGCCGUCAUCCCGCCCAAAAAGCAGCCUCUCACUUAUCUGGGAGUCACUUAGAUGGCCAUCUCAGUUAUCCGGGAUGCUGCCAGUACCGAGGAGGGAAGGCAAAGCCUGGCUGACAAGUUGAGAGAUGUCACAAAAUUUGUGACAAAAGGCCAUGAGUUUUUAGAUAGAAUUCCAACAGGCCUGGUGAUUUGGUGUUCGAGGCACAGCCAGGAAGAAGCACCUUUAGGAAGAAUGCAGACGGCUCCUAAGAGCAAGAGAAUUAAAAAUGGGGAGUUCCCGUCAUGGCUCAGUGGUUAACAAAUCUGCCCAUCAUUCAUGAGGAUGCAGGUUCGAUCCCUGGCAUCACUCAGUGGGUCGGGGAUCUGGCGUUGCUGUGAGCUGUGGUGUAGGUCACAGACGUGGUCCGGAUCUGGCUGUGGUGUAGGCUGGCAGCUACAGUUCCGAUUCGACCCCUAGCCUGGGAACCUAAAAAGACAAAAAACAGAAAAACUGACUGACUUGAACUUGAGUCCUUCACAUAAUUCGUAUAAGAUCACACACGUUGUUGCAUGUCUCAGCCAGGGUUUCUUUUCAUCGCUGAGUAGUAUUCCAUUUUAUAGAUGCCCCCCCAGCUUGUUUAUCCAUUCCCCAGGUAAGGGGCCUUUUGGGUUGUUUCAGGUUCUGGCAAUCAUGAAUGAAUCCAGUAUAAACAUUUUUACAUAGGUUUCUGCGUGAUUGCAGGUUUUUAUUUUUCUGGGGUAAUUAUCUAUCUAGGAGUGGGAUUGCUGGGCCUUAGGGUAAAGGUAUAUUACCUUUAUGAGAAACUCCCAAACCAUUUUUCCAAAGUGGUGGUGCCAUUUUGCUUUCCUGCCGGGAUGUAUGACUGUUCCAGGGGCUCCACAUCUCACCAGCGCCUGAGAGCGUCAGCUGGGUUGCCCUCCUUUUAAACCACGCUGAAGUGUCUGGACUGAAUGCUGGAGGCAGCUGGAGCCCAGCUGAAGGGGUGUGAGCAGAAGACAGGCAAGCUGGCCCUCAUCAGGGAGACGGGGGGACGCUGUCACUCAGGGAGGCAGUGAUGAGGGUCAGGGUGCAGGCAGCUGCAGGAGGGAGAAGUUCCAAGGAUGUUUCAGAAGGACCAUAGGAGCUCCCACUGUGGCUCAGCAGGUUAGGAACCCAGCGUAGUCCCCAUGUCAACAUGGGUUUGAUCCCUGGCCUCACUCAGUGGGUUAAGAUCCAGGGUUGCCGUUACCUGUGCUGUAGGUUAUAGAUGCAGCUCGGAUCCCACGUUGCUUUAGCUCUGAUGUAGACCUGCAGCUGCAGCUCCGAUUUGACCCCUAGCCUGGGAACUUCCAUAUGCCACGGAUAUGGCGCUAAAAUGACCAAAAAAAAGAGAGGAAGAGGUUCCUGUCGUGGUGCAGUGGUUAAUGAAUCCAACUAGGAACCAUGAAGUCGCGGGAUCCCUGGCCUUGCUCAGUGGGUUAAGGAUCCGGCAUUGCUGUGAGUUGUGGUGUAGGUCAUAGCAGCUGUAGCUCUGAUGAGACCCCUAGCCUGGGAAUCUCCAUAUGCCAUGGGUACGGCCCUAGAAAAGGCAAAAAGACAAAAAAAAAAAAAGAGGAAGAGACGCCAGACAUGCACAGAGAUGAGGACCCAGGGAGGAGGUGGCCGUCUACACCCCAAGGAGAGAGCCCUCCAGAGAAAGAACCCCUGCUGACACCUUGACCCUGGACUUCCAGCCUCCAGACUGUGAGGAAAUAGGUUUUUGUUGUUGAAGCCCCCCCAUCCGUGGUAGUCACAGGGUCCUGAGCAAAGACACCCCUCGUACUUUCUAUCGGUUUGGAUCCCCGGGUUCGAGAAUCACGGGUCUUCCUGCCUCCCCUCACUGGGUCGUGGGCUCCCAGAGGGCGGUGUGACCUCGUGCACUCCCUGUCACCGCGCAGUGCUGGACCUUCAUGUUCGUAGAAUGAAUGUGACGAGGCAGAAAAGUCCUUAUCUCAUUAGGUAUCCCGGGGAACUGUGGCUGCUGCUGCCAUCGGAGGCUCAAGUGAGAGAAACAAAUUUUGUGAAAACCAUAUUCAGGAACGCAGCUUCGCUCUGUCAGUGUGUACACCGUAGGCGACACGGAGCCCCCGGAGGGAAAUUCGGCUUCGUGUUAGUUACCGACAGCUCCCGCCUCUAUUCCAGAUCUAAGUCCGAUUACGCUGUGCCUUGAUCAUUAUGCUCUAUUAAACAUUUUUCUGCUUCCUUGCCCACCUCUGUCCCCAGCCACCCCUGCCCACCACACGUACACACAGCACGCUGUGCCCCGGCCUCCACACCAAUCCCCACUUCACCCUGGUAAUGCUAAUUCACCUCCUGAGACUUGGCCAGCAUCACAUCUCCUCCAGAUUCUCCCAUGACUGCUUCAGACUAGACCAAAUGCUCCUUCUCAGUGCUGGCUUGACGCGCUGGAAAGGCGGCUGUCACACCAUUUGCCACGGGACCUCGCAGUCACCCUUCCCAGGGUCGUCUCACCAAACACAUCCUUUCAAACCCGGGGCCCGUCUCUUCCUUUUUCAAAAACCUUUACCCGGUGCCUGGCUCAAUGCCUGGCUCCUAAGUCACGUAAUGCAGGACAGCUCUUAUCCUUUAAAAUAAAACAGUAGUGCAUCAUGGGAAGGAAGGCUAGGCUGCUCUACGUUAGCAUGCAUUAGUUAUUCGGUAAAUAUUUUUCCUUUUCCAUUUCAUUUUUUCUUCUGAUUUCUUCCUAGCUUCACUUGCUUUCCAACUGCUCAUCUUUAAGCCUGGUGAGAAGAAUUAGGAGAAAGAGAAGAGAAAUAAAGUUAAAGAGAGUGAGGAGAACACACACACACACACACACAGUGAGGAUAAGGAUUUUACGUGCUGAGAUAAACGCCUUCCAUCAUGAAUUCUCCUGGUGCCCUGAGGCGAAGUGUGUGGAGUCCUGAGUCUCUAAAAAUAGAAAUCCAAAGCCUAUCUCUUUCAACAAGGGGCUGAAAGUAUUAAUUAAUGCUUGCAGAGCGCUUCGAGGAUGCAAACGUGGACACCAAUCCGUGUCAGCACUGGACGUCCUCUGUGUAAUGAGGCUUAGAUGUGCAGUGAUGCAGCACAUCAGGUAACAUGGCUGGAAAGUAGAAAAGCACUGCAGUCCGGGUUCAGCACCCGCACUAACCACGUGAUCCAAAACUCCCCAAUCCUCACUCCAGGCUGGACUGCCAGUCACCCAAAUCUGAAUCCUUAGCAUGCAUCCCAGUGUGGUGGUUGGCACAGAGCAGGGCUUGGUGCUGUAGAUUUUGAUGUAUUUCUAGAAGAGUCCCCUUUUUGUGUUAAGAGACAUGAAAAAGACCCCAUGUUGAUGUUUUUUCCAGUGAAGGAAAAAGUUGACAGCAUUAAGAAUAUUCAUUAUGUUUCAUGGUUUGAGGUUUGAAAUGCUGGGUUUUGCCGAUGUGCGGCCAUCGUAGAGGUGGCCACCCGGCUCUUGUAAUGAUACUGACCUCUUCUGCCACUGGUCCUCCGUUUGGAUGAGUGUCUUUUAUAAGGAAGAGCUACUUUCCACUCUCUGAAACAGGGAGACCCUUACAGGGGGUAACUGCUGCUUCAGGGUGAUUGCCUCGUUAAUGUCUGUCUUCUCCCUGGGAUGGUGGCUUCAUGAGGCCUGGAGCUCUGCCUGCCUUCUCAUAUGAUACCUGGCACACAGCAGGUGCUCAGCAACCCCACCCCCACCCCCACUCCACACACACGCAAAGGAUGGACGGAGGAGGUAGGUGCGCAAGAAGGAUGGAUGGAUGUCAGUGACGUUAAUACCACCUAAGCGAGGGAGAGGCUGAUGGAGAGGACAACGUCCAGAAGGCUACUGAACAGGCCUCGAGGUUAAACAGAGGGUCCCAGCUUGCCAAGCUUGAUAUAUCCAGGUUCAGAUUACUCAAUUAUGAUUGCAUAUUUUGUUGUUGUUGUUGUUGUUGUUGUUGUUUGCUUUUUAAGCCCACACCCGUGGCAUAUGGAAGUUCCCAGGCUAGGGGUUGAAUCGGAGAUGCAGCUGCUGGCCUACAGCAACUGGAUACUCAACCCACUGAGUGAGGCCAGGGAUUGAACUCAUAUCCUCAUGGAUAUAAGUCGGAUUCGUUACUGCUGAGCCAUAUGUAUUUUUUUUUUUCUUUUUGCCGUUUCUAGGGCCACUCCUGCGGCACAUGGAGGUUCCCAGGGUAGGGGUCUAAUCGGAGCUGUAGCCACCGGCCUACGCCAGAGCCACAGCAACACGGGAUCCGAGCCGUGUCUGCGACCUACACCAUUGCUCACGGCAACGCCGGAUCCGUAACCCACUGAGCAAGGCCAGGGACCAAACCCGCAACCUCAUGGUUCCUAGUCGGAUUCGUUAAGCACUGCGCCAUGAAGGGAACUCCUGUAUAUAUGUUUCUGCUAACACUUGACGACCUGAGGCAGAAAGAGUGUGGUUGUCUGUGAAUGGCUUUGCGUUGAAGGACAAGUAUGUGCCUUAAACUAAAUCAGCUGGAACCCUGGGCUCUCUGGAACUCAGUCUCACUCGUUUCUGGGUGCCACCCGCACACUGGGGGGUGUCUUGCACUUAUUUUUAUUCUCAGUAUGGUACAUAGGGUGUGCUGACUUUACCCCUGGCUCUCGUUUUCGGAGGGCUUCCUCUUUGUCAGGUUGGGCUCAGCGUUGUAUAUGCCUCAGCUCUGAUCCUUGCUGCAUGCAGCGCCUAGAAAGCAUCCUGACACCUGUUUUACAGGAUGAGGAAACUGAAGCCCAAAUCCUACAGAGCUGCUAAGAGGCAGGAUGUGGAUUUAAACCCACUUAAUCUUAAGUGAUCCUUCCCCGACAUGAUGCUGUGUCGGGGGAGAGUCUGCUUUGGGGAUUUAAACAGGUGACUAGAACGGGCCAUUAAACUUUCAUGAGCAUCCGCUUCCUCGUCUGUACAGUGGAGGUGUGAAAAUGGUUAAUCUUUCAGGUCUAUUUUCCUCUAGAAUUCUGCCCCUGGAAGAACAGAGGCAGGGAAGACCUGCCCGCUGUGCUGGAGCUGUCCGUGGUCCUGACAAGGCUGGCAGCAAUAAAGCCAUAAUCAGCUUAUCAAAGGAAGAAGCACAAGAAGCCAGAAGCACGUCCCUUAAUAAAGAUCUUGCUC
rnacentral:lncRNA from 1 species